UACGUAGGGACCAAGCGUUGUUCGGAAUUACUGGGCGUAAAGGGCUCGUAGGCGGCCAACUAAGUCAGACGUGAAAUCCCUCGGCUUAACCGGGGAACUGCGUCUGAUACUGGAUGGCUUGAGGUUGGGAGAGGGAUGCGGAAUUCCAGGUGUAGCGGUGAAAUGCGUAGAUAUCUGGAGGAACACCGGUGGCGAAGGCGGCAUCCUGGACCAAUUCUGACGCUGAGGAGCGAAAGCCAGGGGAGCAAACGGG
rnacentral:rRNA from 1 species